CAAUAGCGUAUAUUAAAGUUGUUGCGGUUAAAAAGCUCGUAGUUGGAUUUCUGUUGAGGACGGCCGGUCCGCACUAUGUGCGUGUAUCUGGUUCGGCCUCGGCAUCCUCUCGAAAGCCGUUUCUGCGCUUGAUUGCGUGGUUCGGACUUCGGGACUUUUACUUUGAGGAAAUUAGAGUGUUCACGGCAGGCAAGCGCCUUGAAUAUAUUAGCAUGGAAUAAUAAUAUAGGAUCUUGGUCCUAUUUUGUUGGUUUCUAGGGCUAAGAUAAUGAUUAAUAGGGACAAUUGGGGGCAUUCGUAUUAACGCGUCAGAGGUGGAAUUCUUGGAUUGCGUUACGACGAACUACUACGAAAGCAUUUGCCAAGGAUGUUUUCAUUGA
rnacentral:rRNA from 1 species